GUGGGGAAUCUUAGACAAUGGGGGAAACCCUGAUCUAGCCAUGCCGCGUGAGCGAUGAAGGCCUUAGGGUUGUAAAGCUCUUUCAGCUGGGAAGAUAAUGACUGUACCAGCAGAAGAAGCCCCGGCUAACUCCGUGCCAGCAGCCGCGGUAAUACGGAGGGGGCUAGCGUUGUUCGGAAUUACUGGGCGUAAAGCGCACGUAGGCGGACCGGAAAGUCAGAGGUGAAAUCCCAGGGCUCAACCUUGGAACUGCCUUUGAAACUCCUGGUCUUGAGGUCGAGAGAGGUGAGUGGAACUCCGAGUGUAGAGGUGAAAUUCGUAGAUAUUCGGAAGAACACCAGUGGCGAAGGCGACUCACUGGCCCGUUACUGACGCUGAGGCGCGAAAGCGUGGGGAGCAAACAGGAUUAGAAACCCCUGUAGUCC
rnacentral:rRNA from 1 species